UACGUAGGGUGCGAGCGUUGUCCGGAAUUAUUGGGCGUAAAGAGCUCGUAGGCGGUUUGUCGCGUCUGCUGUGAAAACUCAGGGCUUAACCCUGAGCCUGCAGUGGGUACGGGCAGACUAGAGUGUGGUAGGGGAGAUCGGAAUUCCUGGUGUAGCGGUGGAAUGCGCAGAUAUCAGGAGGAACACCGGUGGCGAAGGCGGAUCUCUGGGCCAUAACUGACGCUGAGGAGCGAAAGCGUGGGGAGCGAACAGG
rnacentral:rRNA from 1 species